rnacentral:rRNA from 1 species
CCUACGGGAGGCAGCAGUAGGGAAUAUUGCUCAAUGGGGGAAACCCUGAAGCAGCAACGCCGCGUGGAGGAUGAAGGUUUUCGGAUUGUAAACUCCUUUAGUUAGAGAAGAUAAUGACGGUAUCUAACGAAUAAGCACCGGCUAACUCCGUGCCAGCAGCCGCGGUAAUACGGAGGGUGCAAGCGUUACUCGGAAUCACUGGGCGUAAAGGGCGCGUAGGCGGGAUAGCAAGUCAGAUGUGAAAUCCUAUGGCUUAACCAUAGAACUGCAUUUGAAACUGUUAUUCUAGAGUAUGGGAGAGGUAGGUGGAAUUCUUGGUGUAGGGGUAAAAUCCGUAGAGAUCAAGAGGAAUACUCAUUGCGAAGGCGACCUGCUAGAACAUAACUGACGCUGAUGCGCGAAAGCGUGGGGAGCAAACAGGAUUAGAUACCCCAGUAGUC